rnacentral:tRNA from 1 species
GGCGGAGUAGCUCAGCUGGUUAGAGCGGCGGCUUCAUAAGCCGCGUCUGUCGUGGGUUCGAAUCCCACCUCCGCUACCA